UUAGAACUGGCAGACUAGAGUUUUGGAGAGGGGAGUGGAAUUCCAGGUGUAGCGGUGAAAUGCGUAGAUAUCUGGAGGAACAUCAGUGGCGAAGGCGACUCUCUGGCCAAAGACUGACGCUCAUGUGCGAAAGUGUGGGUAGCGAACAGGAUUAGAUACCCUGGUAGUCCACACCGUAAACGCUGUCUACUAGCUGUGUGUGCAUUUAAUGCGUGCGUAGCGAAGCUAACGCGCUAAGUAGACCGCCUGGGGAGUACGGCCGCAAGGUUAAAACUCAAAUGAAUUGACGGGGGCCCGCACAAGCGGUGGAGCAUGUGGUUUAAUUCGACGCAACGCGAAGAACCUUACCUGGCCUUGAC
rnacentral:rRNA from 1 species